rnacentral:hammerhead_ribozyme from 1 species
UGCCGAAACGCCGGGAGGCGUCGUCGUGGGGUGGUGCCCACGGCCUGAUGACGGCAGCCGCUG